UCCUACGGGAGGCAGCAGUGAGGAAUAUUGGUCAAUGGGCGAGAGCCUGAACCAGCCAAGUCGCGUGAGGGAUGACUGCCCUAUGGGUUGUAAACCUCUUUUGUAUGGGGGGAAUAAGCUUUACGAGUAGAGUGAUGACAGUACCAUACGAAUAAGCAUCGGCUAACUCCGUGCCAGCAGCCGCGGUAAUACGGAGGAUGCGAGCGUUAUCCGGAUUUAUUGGGUUUAAAGGGUGCGUAGGCGGCCUGUUAAGUUAGUGGUUAAAUGUCGGGGCUAAACCCCGGAUUGCCAUUAAAACUGGCGGG
rnacentral:rRNA from 1 species